rnacentral:misc_RNA from 1 species
GAUGAAGAACGUAGCGAAAUGCGAUAAGUAAUGUGAAUUGCAGAAUUCAGUGAAUCAUCGAAUCUUUGAACGCACAUUGCGCCCGCUAGUAUUCUGGCGGGCAUGCCUGUCCGAGCGUCAUUUCAACCCUCAAGCCCCCGGGCUUGGUGUUGGGGAUCGGCGAGCCUCCGCGCCCGCCGUCCCCUAAAUCUAGUGGCGGUCUCGCUGUAGCUUCCUCUGCGUAGUAGCACACCUCGCACUGGGAAACAGCGCGGCCACGCCGUUAAACCCCCAACUUCUGAACGUUUGACCUCGGAUCAGGUAGGAAUACCCGCUGAACUUACGCAUAUCAAUAAGCGGAGGA